GCAACUCUUCUUGUGGCUCUACAGAUACUGGCAGAUUGUGCGUCCUGUGCUUGCAACACUCCUGACAAUAGUGCAGAGCUGGGCAGGCUCCAUACUUCUGUCGGAGAUGGCAGACAGUGACAAGUCCCACGCAGGAGCUCGAAUCCCAUCUCUAAUACAGAAGUGGCCUGUCAAGGAAACUGAGGCAAAAUUUGCAGGAUGAUGUAAUGGGACUGUAAUCUUCAAGUUAAAUUAAAGUACCUGGCCUGUAUUUGAGGAGCUCUGGAAACUGGAGGAGCAAUUUAGUGCUUCCAACUGCCUAAAAGGAAUUGGACUGUGAUUUGUGACAGUCGUCUGGUGAUUGAUGAGAUAAAGCUGC